CACAGAGGUCUCGAGCGUUGUUCGGAUUCAUUGGGCGUAAAGGGCGCGUAGGCGGCGGGGUAAGUCUGGUGUGAAAUCUCGGAGCUCAACUCCGAAAUUGCACUGGAUACUGCUCUGCUAGAGGGCUGGAGAGGAGAUCGGAAUUCACGGUGUAGCAGUGAAAUGCGUAGAUAUCGUGAGGAAGACCAGUGGCGAAGGCGGAUCUCUGGACAGCUCCUGACGCUGAGGCGCGAAGGCUAGGGGAGCAAACGGG
rnacentral:rRNA from 1 species